rnacentral:rRNA from 1 species
AAUAGUUAUGCCGGAUACAGGUGGUGCAUUGGUUGUCGUCAGCUCGUGUCGUGAGAUGUUGGGUUAAGUCCCGCAACGAGCGCAACCCUUGUCUUCAGUUACCAUCAUUUAGUUGGGGACUCUGGAGAGACUGCCGGUGACAAACCGGAGGAAGGUGGGAUGACGUCAAAUCAUCAUGCCCCUUAUGACCUGGGCUACACACGUACUACAAUGGCGUAUACAACGGGAAGCGAAAUGGUGACAUGGAGCAAAUCUCACAAAGUACGUCUCAGUUCGGAUUGAAGUCUGCAACUCGACUUCAUGAAGUCGGAAUCGCUAGUAAUCGCGGAUCAGCAUGCCGCGGUGAAUACGUUCUCGGGCCUU